AUAGUAGGUGCUCCUUUAAUUCAUAUUAAUUUAUUAAUUUAGCAAGGCCACUAGUAUACAUUCUAUAGUGACCUUAUCUCACUAAGUUUCAAGACAAGAAUAUCUUAGGUUUGUUUAAUUUCAUGUGAAAAGCUAUAUUCAUUAUUCAGGUUGUCAUGAACUGAAACUUUCUUGUUUAAAGCUCUUGUUAAGUUCACUUCAAAUAGCAUUGAAAUUUUUUGUGAACCUGCCUUCAUCAUGCUGGUUAAGGAAGUUAUGUUAUGGAACUAAGCUUUGUAGGACUAUGUGUGACAUGAUACCUUUGAAAGAUCUGCUUCACUACAUGGAACCCGAGAGUUAAUUAAUGUUGGAGAUUUUGGGAAAU